AACUUCAGUCUUCAGUGUAGUUCCAAACACGAACAAGAGUGGGCAGUGGACAUUUUUGUCAACAGAUGCUCACGCGUCACGAGGUAAAGGAAUAGACUUUAGUGAAGAAGAAGGCAUUUCAGGUCUCAUUGCGUGUCGUGGGUGACUGGUCACGUCUAAUCCACGACGACAAGUUUAACCUUUCUACACCAAUAUCAUAAUGUGGCAAAUUAUUCCUGAAUGAGUCAUUGCUACAGGGCUUCUGUGUGAAUUAAAUUCUUUGAAGUAUUCUGAUGGUGUAUAAAGAAGACAGCUGAUUUACGCAACUCAAGGGAAUUUCUACAAAUCAGAAAUACUACAAACUUGAAGAAAUUACUGGAAGAAGAGACAGCCAAAAUGACUGCUGCUGGAAAACGAACAAGAACAGAGUAUGACAUCGAAUAACUAACUCUCUUAUGAAGGAAAGAACCAACAAGGCAGGGUCGCCCAGCAGAAAAAAAAUUACUCUAUAAAUGUCAGAAACCCGUACUUUCACAUAAAGAUAUCAUAAUCUUAAAGAUACUAUUAAAACUGUUAUUUCUGUAAGAUUUAUAGUCACGAGCAAGUGUUGUUUUAUCAGAGUCAUAACGGUGCCUAUUGGCCCAAAGUCGAUUAGAACUCAGCUUUGCUGCUUUUAAUUUCUAAGUUGCAUCUUCAAAAGUCUUUUUCAUAAGAGGAAGUUCACUGUUGUCCAGGAGAGAUGUUUUAUAAUUGAAACCUGCUACUGGUUUGAUAUUUUAGGAUAUAUUUACCACGUUAAUUUCUUCUAAGUUUAAUGUACGUAUCAGGUAGCUUAGCUGUAUUCAGGAUGUAUAGACUUAUUAUACCUAAAGGUCAUAAUCAUCUCACUCUAAACUGAUGAACAUUUACCUAGAAUUUUUAUAAGUUCACGUUCAACAUGUUUCAAGAUCCGUAGUUGCCUCGCUAAGGUUUCUUAUCACUCUAAUAUCUGCUGUCAGUUAAUUCAUUAUAUGUCAGUCUAUUUUGUAUUUGAAUUUUUCUGUCAGCUGUUAGGCAGAUCAUUGUUUUGACAUGUUUAUUGUUACACUGAAUUCCCUACCAGUUUAGCAAUAGUUAUGUGGUCCCUCAGCAUACAACAAAAUUCAUGGUCCUUUCUACAUAAGAUUCAUUAGUUUUAUUUCAAUUUCUUACCACUUUAAAAUGACUAUUAGCCAUCAAUAAUAUAUUCUGUAGGUUUCAGGACACAUAGCUUGUUUUGCCUUGAAUAUUAUAUUAGUUUCUUAUCAACCACAAGUAGCUUGGUGUAUUCGGAUACAUAUACGUAGUACUUGAUUUAAUUUUCUUCUUCGGUAUAUAAUAGCUACCUUGCAUUUUUCAGGAUACAUUUUCAUUUGCAUAAGAUUCAUAAGUUCAAUAUUAUGGGUAAAAAAUCAGUUUGUUCCAAAAUACAUAGCAUAUAUUUUAUUUAAAUGUCUUAUAAGUUUGAUAAAGAUAUGUCUUAAAAUAUAAAGAAGCCUUCGCUUGAAUUUCUGAGCAGUGUCAACAUCAGCUGCCAAUUACUGCAGCUUAGUACAUAACAAUAUUCAGGUGUAUAAUUUUCAUUUAAUCUCAGAUAAACUUGAGUUCCACCAUAGCGUAACAUCAACUAUUAGAUAUUCAGGGCUACAUUUUUAUUAUUUCAUAUCGAAAAUCACGUAUGUUCAAGGAUAACGUCUUGUUCAUCAACUUUCAGUUUUGAUUUGCAGUGUCCAGGAGGUAUUUUUCGUAUUUGUCUAUUAUCUUUAAUAAAUCUACUAGAUAUUCUUAAA